rnacentral:rRNA from 1 species
CCUGGCUCAGGAUGAACGCUAGCGGCAGGCUUAACACAUGCAAGUCGAGGGGCAUCGGGAGUAGCAAUACUUGCCGGCGACCGGCGCAAGGGUGCGUAACGCGUGAGCAACAUGCCCGUAUCAGGGGGAUAAUCCAUGGAAACGUGGUCUAAUACCCCAUAGUAAUUAUGUAAGGCAUCUUAUAUAAUUUAAAGCUUUGGUGGAUACGGAUUGGCUCGCGUGACAUUAGCUGGAUGGUAAGGUAACGGCUUACCAUGGCUACGAUGUCUAGGGGUUCUGAGAGGAAGGUCCCCCCACACUGGAACUGAGACACGGUCCAGACUCCUACGGGAGGCAGCAGUGAGGAAUAUUGGACAAUGGAUGGAAAUCUGAUCCAGCCAUGCCGCGUGCAGGGAAAGACGGCCCUAUGGGUUGUAAACUGCUUUUGUAUGGGAGCAAUAAGGGCUACGUGUAGUCCGAUGAGAGUACCAUACGAAUAAGCACCGGCUAACUCCGUGCCAGCCGCUGC